AAGUCGUAACAAGGUUUCCGUAGGUGAACCUGCGGAAGGAUCAUUAACACGUUAUCCAACGUAUCAACCAACGAGAAUCGUUUUCAUAUCUCCCGGAAGCAAAGAAUGAGUGGAAUCCGAGCAACGCAUUGAAAGGGAUAGCCUCGGCGUCAGCCUGCUCUUAUCACUUAGGCAAAUCGAAAGGUUUGCUUAGACACUGUAUUUUUGCGGAAGGCAAAUUGGUCUGCGUGGUGCUUUCCUUUCAUUGAGAAUCACUGCAGGCUCCUAUUUUUUUUUUACCUAUUUCACCCCCCUUUUUGCUAGUUGACUUUAAUACUGUUGUUCUUUUUUUUCAAACGCUUGCGUUGGGAAAAGAGUUCACACGUUUAAUUAAUUGAACGUUAAAAAUACAACUCUUAGCAAUGGAUAUCUUGGUUCUC
rnacentral:misc_RNA from 1 species